CAGAGGUGAAAUUCUUGGAUUU
rnacentral:siRNA from 1 species